GUUUUUUUAUUUGUUUUAUAUCCGAUCACACAUUCUCCUUUCACUACAUCAGUUUAAAGGCGUAGUCCGUAAUCUAGUCCACCCUAGGUGUCACGGUCCUCUAGGUAACUGUGUUUUUAGCGUUUUAGUUUUAAUACGUUUUUUUUUUUUAAUGGCUGUGGAGCUCAGAUAUCAACAGUCUUUCACCAGAAUCAUGGACUGUACCUUUAAGAAGUGGUAAAACAUUUGGUUACUCCUUGAAAAGAUGUUAUAUUGAUAACAGCGUAAUUGUUAGUAACGCAGGGGGAAUGUUUUCUGUGUCAGUGUACAAUGGUGCCAUUAUACACAUGGGAGUGUGCAGAUAAACUUAAUGGAAAGCGCCACCAUGCCUGUUUCUAAACUUUUUACAUGCUUAAAUAAACUACAAUACUAAAUGAACAUUUUACCAAAGCUGCAAUUACUGUAUAUUUCAGUUUUUUUUUUUGGAGAGUUGUUUGGCCAGUUUUGUAAAUUGACAUGAGAUCUCCAAUUAUGUACAUUGAUGUGGUUUGCCAGCUUUAUGAUCAAUGAACAGUGAAAAGAAAAGGUACGUGUUGCAGAGCAGUAUAGGGGCAAAUGACAGAGGAAGAAGAACUGGUGAAGUCUGGAUUGAGACGAAUUUGUUUAAUUUAUAUUAUAGGCAAAUAGAAGAUUUAAUUGAAAAACACAAUUGAAAAUCCAGAAUCAAAUGAAAAUCAAUUUUUUUUUUCUUGUUAUUCUUUUUUUUGUAUUUACUUUUCCGUUAUUGUUUUAAUUUAAAAUAAUUUUAAAUAAUAGUAAUUUCAAUACUAUCAUCCCGGCUCUGCUACAGGACAAGCUUCUCCGGCUGAGUGUGCCUGACUCCAUCUGCAGGUGGAUCACAGACUUCCUGUCUGACCGGAGGCAGCACGUGCGGCUGGGAAAACAUGUCUCUGACCCCCGGACCAUCAGCACCGGUUCCCCUCAAGGCUGCGUUCUUUCCCCUCUUCUCUUCUCCCUGUACACCAACAGCUGCACCUCCAGUCACCAGUCCGUCAAGCUCCUCAAGUUCGCGGACGACACCACCCUCAUUGGGCUCAUCUCUGGUGGUGAUGAGUCUGCC
ensembl:lncRNA